UAUAUACAUAUCAAGCACGUGCUGUCAGUAAUUACUCAGAGUAGGCAGUUGGUGACAUUUAUGUAGUAAAACACACAAAAAAAUAGGCAAAACACAGGCACAUGACUGAGUUGCAGGCAGAUUCACUUCUGCCUUUGUAGCACGUAAAGAAAACAUUAUUUGUAGG